rnacentral:lncRNA from 1 species
AGCAGUGGCUUAGAAGAGUGGGGUGUCUCUGGACCAGAGGGUACUGUGCCUCCUGGGAGCCCUGAGGGAAUAGGUGACUAUUUGCCUACCACUCAGGGUUAAAUGUGACCCUGUACAUGGUGUCUACAUGUCCUCUGCUGGUAGAUGGGUGAGUCUGCUAUACACAGCCCAUGUGUGUCUUUCUGUUCCUUACUAGAAUCGAGCGAAGUUAAGUGCACACACCCAGUCCUGUAUACCUGCAUGUAUGUGUACCUGCUAGUAGUUAAGUACAUGUGCUCUUACAUACCUGUUUAAAUGAUGAUGAGUGCAGCCUGUGGAUGUGCAGUGGUGCUCUGUGUGUGUAUACUGGGGAUCAAGUCUAGGAUGCCCGCAUGCUGGGCAUGUACUUCAGUCCAGCAUGCUCUACCUGUUCUCCGUCUAGGCACGGGUGUGUGUGUGUGCUCAUUUUGCAGGGCUUUGUGUGAAUUCACAGUGCCCUUGCCUAAGCAUUUAGAUGCACACCUGUGUGCCUGUGUGUGCAUACAUGCUUGCCUGUGCCAGCCCAUGCACACUGUCUAAGCGUACAUGUGCAUUUAGAUGCAACAAAGAUCACCAUAGAGGUGGCUACAUUCAGUGUAUCUUUGGCAAGCCUAUUGUCAGAUGUGAAGAUCUUGGCGCUCCCCAGAGUACAGAAGAGUGAGUGGGGUCUCACUUGCUCUGCUUUUGCUUGGUCUACUCAUAAUGUGGGACCUGCAUAGGGUACCACUCUAACCUGACAGCCUCUAUUCCAGGGUUUGGAGACCUGCUCAGGUGUAGCAGUUGGUGACAUAUGGAGCCUGCUGUGCGGAGCAUCUAGGUGCUAGAGAUGGCUUCUGCCCAUAUAACCGGAAACCCCAUCUUGGGCUCUCUAUGGGUCUAGAGCCUCUUUUCCUAAACCAGACUCAACUCUGUGACAGACUACAAGGGGGUGCUAGGGUCCCAAGCUCCAAGCAUAGAAUUGUCCCUAAAGAUAGUAGGAAGUAGAUUCCCUGUCCUGGCAAUUUUGUCAUUCGUCCUGAGUGAGGAGGGCUCUGUUCAGGAGCAAAUGUCAUCUGUCACUUCAGCCCUUGGGCUCCACCCACCCUCAACUGCACAGGGUUAAGUGGAGCCUGGGCCGCAGGGGUCUCUGGAGCUUAGGAAAUGCAGGAGCCCUGAUUAUUAAACCAAACCUGUCUUCUACAC